AUUGAACGCUGGCGGCAUGCCUUACACAUGCAAGUCGAACGGUAACAGGUCUUCGGAUGCUGACGAGUGGCGAACGGGUGAGUAAUACAUCGGAACGUGCCUAGUAGUGGGGGAUAACUACUCGGAAGAGUGGCUAAUACCGCAUGAGAUCUACGGAUGAAAGCAGGGGAUCGCAAGACCUUGUGCUACUAGAGCGGCCGAUGGCAGAUUAGGUAGUUGGUGGGAUAAAAGCUUACCAAGCCGACGAUCUGUAGCUGGUCUGAGAGGACGAUCAGCCACACUGGGACUGAGACACGGCCCAGACUCCUACGGGAGGCAGCAGUGGGGAAUUUUGGACAAUGGGCGAAAGCCUGAUCCAGCAAUGCCGCGUGCAGGAUGAAGGCCUUCGGGUUGUAAACUGCUUUUGUACGGAACGAAAAGCCCCGGGUUAAUACCCUGGGGUCAUGACGGUAUCGUAAGAAUAAGCACCGGCUAACUACGUGCCAGCCGCCGCAGUAA
rnacentral:rRNA from 1 species